GGGGGCUCCGAGACCGGGAUUGAUUCGGGGCAAAUAUUUGAUGGAUCAAUCCAAGAGCGACCAGCUGCUUCUCACACCCAGCAGACAAUUACUUAAAGGACCAAGACAGUGUAAUAUGUGCUCGGUACGAAGCCAAGUGUGAUCAGUUCCUUCUAACAAACAGCAGGUAUGUUACUGCAGUCAGGCUGAAGAACAUCCUUUCCACAGUUAGAGAGCAGAUUGAAUUAGACACACGUUGACUCAAUUUCCAGAGAGAAAUUUUCAAAUCAAGAGUAAACUACCUUGGACAAAUUA